rnacentral:lncRNA from 1 species
CAGGAAUGAGAAUAUGGAAUAGACAGUUUCCUAUAACUACCUGUUACAGAGAAUACAGGCCUUCAAGAUAAGACAGCAGCCAUUUGCCAGAUGAGACAGGUAAAACAUGCAAAGGUGACAACAGCCCUUUCACCAUCUCAUAACAACGUCUACAAACCAUGUGGUUCCUGCAGCAAACUGAGAUGUUUCUUUCUGCCUCUACCUGGAUCAGACACUGCAGGUCCUCAAAGCAAGCCUGAAACCAGUGAUAAAAAAGUAAAUUCUACAAAGACAGCUUAACUAUGAGUAUAUUGGCCAGUAUAACAUCUGAAAUCUAAA